rnacentral:rRNA from 1 species
UACGUAGGGUGCGAGCGUUAAUCGGAAUUACUGGGCGUAAAGCGUGCGCAGGCGGCUUUGCAAGACAGAUGUGAAAUCCCCGGGCUCAACCUGGGAACUGCAUUUGUGACUGCAAGGCUAGAGUACGGCAGAGGGGGAUGAAAUUCCGCGUGUAGCAGUGAAAUGCGUAGAUAUGCGGAGGAACACCAAUGGCGAAGGCAAUCCCCUGGGCCUGUACUGACGCUCAUGCACGAAAGCGUGGGGAGCAAACAGG